CAUCUAGAUAAACUUCAAAUGAUCCAUUUAGUGUUUGUGUGUCAUCGUUAGACAUUAGGUUGAUUUUUAAUUUAGCUUGUUGUAGAUUUAAGCAUCUUUAUUUAUAGAGUUUGCUUCAUUU